rnacentral:misc_RNA from 1 species
AACUGAUACUACCUGCGGGAACCUGCGGAAGGAUCAUUAACGAGUUUUGAAGUGGGAUUGAUGCUGGCCUUCCGAGGCAUGUGCUCGUCCUCGCUCAUCCACUCACAACACCUGUGCACUGUUGAGGUGUGGCCCCCCUUCAAUGGAGCCGUUCCCCCCUAGGGGGUCGAGCCGGGGUCAGGCCUUCUUCGUCACAAACAACUUGUGAUGUCUAUUCGGAAUGUAAUGCUUCAUGUUAAU